AAAUUUGGGAAUCACGAAAAUAGAGCCCUGAAGGCCAACGAGUUUGGACAUUCUGAGAUUAAUUUAUAGCUAAGUUACAGUUUCUCAAAUUCCUUUGAUGCUAUGUUUAACGUUUAAUGUUUGUGGGUCAUUUACAUUGUGGAAGACGGCAUAGAAUGGCAUGUUUCUAUUGAACACUCUUAAUUUGUGGAGCGCUUGCUGUUGGGAGUUAUUUUGAAUUGCUGAAGGUUUCCUAAAUAUAUACUAUGAUCUCAUAACUACUCGGUCAUAUGCCUAUAGAUCUUUUCGAGCUUGGUUAAGAGAAAA
rnacentral:lncRNA from 1 species